GUCUUUCUGUGCACCUUUUGAUGCUAAUUGCACGAUUUGCUUCUGGGUCAGUGAUUUUCCUAGGGAAUAGUUUUCGAUGAGAACUUGUUUCCCCAAAGAGAGGGAAAGGGCGUUCUUAGAAUUAGCGAGAUGGUAGUAUUUUUCAGUGAUUUUCCACCAUUGUGCUACUGAAGGAUUGGUUUUAGAUGGAAUUGAAGAAGAAAGGGAGGUGAUGAAAUCAGAUACAAUAGCUCUUUGGGAUGGCUUGAAUUUUCCAUACCAAAUCAAAUUUACUGAUAUUUUGCCAGAAAGAAGUGCACCCUUGUGGUACUUCAGGAGCUGCAUUUGUGGGUCUUGGACUAAAGCAGUGAUCUUUCUUGAAGCAAAACACACAUUGAGGAAAGACAUCAACACAAAAAGUGAUAAAAUGAAAUGGGUCGAAUUGGAACCGAGUAGAGACAUUUUUUUAAUGGUGAGAAAUAAAAGAGUUUAGGAAUUAUGUUAGGAUAGAAUGUAGGAAAAGAGAGGCAGAAGAAUGAAUAUAUAAGGGAAUGAAGGGUGUAAUUAUUGGGAAGGUGCUGAGAAAGAAGGUUACAGUGACUUUAACUAAAAACGCGUUGGCAAUUAAAUUAAGUGGAGCUAGCUAGCUGCAAGUGCAACACAUGCAUAAGGAGGAAUAGGAAAAAACUUAACUGCCAACUUUUAAGUAGCAGUUACUACUACAGGCUACAGCGGCUCAACUAUUCACAUCACUAUUCCAAUUGACUUUAUUGAUCAUUCAUUAAUGUUUAAUUGAUAUUUUAAUUGUUAUAAUUGGGCAAAACAGAGUAAUGAAGUUCACAUACCAACUUGUUUCAAAAGAAAGCUAAAUCCCCCUCCCUCAACUAAACCUAUUACCAAUUGCAACCUUAUUUUUCCUCCUCAUACAUGCUAGUAGCCUAGUAUUGGGUACGUAAAUUCUACGCCUCUUUACUCAGAGCGUCAUAUCCAUGUUUAAUAAUGCGUAAUGAAGUACGUAGCUGCCACUUUACACAGAUUCACUCUCAAAAUUUGAACAUUACGGAUCUUAUAAAUUGGGACGAAGAGCUCUAUUUAAUUUGAAGUUCAUUUCAGUAUUUUUUUUUCUUCAUAUUGUAAGGACCAGCCACUUUGCCAUUAAAACCACGCAGCUUCUUGGUUCUUUUUGUAUACAAACUACAUAUCUAAUUUCUAAAAGGAAUCCUAUGAGCACCAGGCUAAUUCAGUGUAAGGGAUUUUUUUUUUAAUUAUGCUGAAUAGUAAAAGAAAUUUAUUAUUAUUAUUAUUUAGUACAACACAACAUUCCUCCCAGCUUGUUCAUCAUUGAGCAUUAUCAAUUCCUAUAAUGGUUGUCAACUGGUCAUGACAUCCAAGCCCUACCAAAGAACAAAACAAUACACGUUAGAUAUGCCUGAUUUCUAGUCAUAUCAAACCUCUUGUCUUAUGCAAUUUGUGUUGAUCCAUUUAUUAAAUAAAACUUGAGACAUGCCAGCUAUCUAUAUUGCUCUUCUGCCUAGUCGAAACAGAAAAAGAGACACUAAAUUAUUGGCUUCUCAAUUAGUCUAACAUAUAAAAUGUAUGAAUUGAUCACUAAUCAAUUGAUCUGAAUUCCCAAGAUAGUCGUCAAACUGUUAGAGGCAAAAUUUGCACUAUGAUCGAUUAUGUAACAAGGCCUAUACACGAAUGUAAUUGAGAACAAUAUUGAAAUGACAGAUAAUAAGAUAGUCUUGGAUGAAAAUAGGCCUUAGCCAAGCAUGACUUACAAAUGUAUGAAUGGUAGAAGUACAAGUUAUGCUCAUCAAAGGGGGUUUAACAUAUGGGAGAUAUAAUGCUUAUUAUAAAGUUAACUUGUAUUAGGUGUUAAUGAAGUUUUUCACUAUCAUCUUUCAUUCCGAUUUAAGAAUAAACUGUUCAUUAAGGCUAUAAAUCUAAGACCUUAGGAGAGGUUUGUAAGAUUAUUGAUGAUAAUAAAGAACUACCAAGGCUAUUACUCUCCUUGUUUGCCUUUGUAUUUUGUUCAAUUUGUAGAAAAACAUAUUAUCACAACUUUAGAGAAUGCAUGUCUUGAAAUAUUUUGUGAGCAAGUUAUAAUGCUAUAUGCGAUUAGUAAAAGUUAAAAUAAGAUAUAAAAAAAACAAGUUUCUCAUAUAUUAUCAAAUGAACUAAUCAAUAAAUCAUAUAUUACAAUGCUAUGCUCAAUUAUAGUAGAUCCUAUUUUGUAAAUACUGUUUCUCUCUACACUAGAGUUGAACAUGAAGAUGUAGCAGGAUCAUAUAGAGCAGGAACCAAGUAUUUCCUUCCAUUUGUACCAUGUGCAUUGUAGCUUGCACCUGUUGUUUUAUCCACCAAUAAAUCUCCAGCGUAGCCUGGGUAAGCGCCCUUCGCAUAGACACCAGGGCAAGCAGAUGCAGCUUCCAAUGGCGCAUCUGCUUCGCCCUGGUAGUAACCGUUUCCAAAUGGGUUUGUGGCGGUUCCAGCUAAUAAGCUAGCUAAGUUGAUCACCAUACCAUCAACACCCACAUCGUUGUUUGGUGCACCCAAUGGUGGGUUUUGUGGUCCAUAGAUGGGCUGGUGGAAUGGCCACGCACAGUAGCCAGGACACAGAGUCUCUGAGUUACCAACCCAAAUAUAAGCAAAUUUAUAAGUUUUACCCUUAAUAACAGCACCCUUAGAAGCCCCAUGAGUUCCACACCGAUUAACACAGAACCCAUCAACAGCAACAUCAGAUGCGGUCAAUACAACGUUAAUGGCGUCUCUUUGUUCACCCUUUGAUGCCAAUUGAACGAUUUGUUUCUGGGUUAGUGAUUUUCCUAGGGAAUAAUUUUCGAUGAGAACUUGUUUGCCUAAAUUAAGGGAAAGGGUGUUCUUAGAAUUGGUGAGAUGGUAGUAUUUUUCAGUGGUUUUCCACCAUUGUGCUACUGAAGGAUUGAUUUUAGAUGGAAUUGAAGAAGAAAGGGAGUUGAUGAAAUCGGAUACAAUAGCUCUCUGGGAUGGCUUGAAUUUGCCAUACCAAAUCAGAUUAACAGAGAUUUUGCCAGAAAGAAGUGCACCCUUGUGGUAUUUCAAAAGCUGCAUUUGUGGGUCUUGUACUAAAGCAGUGAGCUUUCUUGAAGCAAAGCACACAUUAAAGAAGGAAAUAACAAGAAAGAGUUUCAAAAUGAAAUGGGUCGAAUUGGAAGUGAGAGAAGACAUAUUUUGUAUUUCUUUGUAAGUAUUUGAUGGAAAUUUGAG
rnacentral:lncRNA from 1 species